rnacentral:miRNA from 1 species
GCUCUUUCCCUGUUGCCCUGCU